GGAGACGUAUCGAAGUGGUCAUAACGGGACUGACUCGAAAUCAGUUGAUCCGCAAGGGUUCGUGGGUUCGAAUCCCACCGUCUCCGCCA
rnacentral:tRNA from 1 species